rnacentral:rRNA from 1 species
AGGUAAGCUACUAAGAGCGAAUGGUGGAUGCCUUGACUGGUAAAGGCGAUGAAGGACGUACUAGACUGCGAUAAGCUACGGGGAGCUGUCAAGAAGCUUUGAUCCGUAGAUUUCCGAAUGGGGCAACCCAAUGUAUAGAGAUAUACAUUACCUAUAUAGGAGCGAACGAGGGGAAUUGAAACAUCUUAGUACUCUCAGGAAAAGAAAUCAAUAGAGAUUGCGUCAGUAGCGGCGAGCGAAAGCGCAAGAGGGCAAACCCAGUGCUUGCACUGGGGGUUGUAGGACUGCAAUGUGCAAGAGGUAAGUUUAGCAGAACAUUCUGGAAAGUAUAACCAUAGAGGGUGAUAGUCCCGUAUGCGAAAAACAAACCUUAGCUAGCAGUAUCCUGAGUAGGGCGGGACACGAGGAAUCCUGUCUGAAUCCGGGUCGACCACGAUCCAACCCUAAAUACUAAUACCAGAUCGAUAGUGCACAAGUACCGUGAGGGAAAGGUGAAAAGAACUGAGGUGAUCAGAGUGAAAUAGAACCUGAAACCAUUUGCUUACAAUCAUUCAGAGCCCUAUGUAGCAAUACAGGGUGAUGGACUGCCUUUUGCAUAAUGAGCCUGCGAGUUGUGGUGUCUGGCAAGGUUAAGCAAACGCGAAGCCGUAGCGAAAGCGAGUCUGAAUAGGGCGCUUAGUCAGAUGCUGCAGACCCGAAACGAAGUGAUCUAUCCAUGAGCAAGUUGAAGCUAGUGUAAGAACUAGUGGAGGACUGAACCCAUAGGCGUUGAAAAGCCCCGGGAUGACUUGUGGAUAGGGGUGAAAGGCCAAUCAAACUUCGUGAUAGCUGGUUCUCUCCGAAAUAUAUUUAGGUAUAGCGUUGUGUCGUAAUAUAAGGGGGUAGAGCACUGAAUGGGCUAGGGCAUACACCAAUGUACCAAACCCUAUCAAACUCCGAAUACCUUAUAUGUAAUCACAGCAGUCAGGCGGCGAGUGAUAAAAUCCGUCGUCAAGAGGGAAACAACCCAGACUACCAGCUAAGGUCCCUAAAUCUUACUUAAGUGGAAAACGAUGUGAAGUUACUUAAACAACCAGGAGGUUGGCUUAGAAGCAGCCAUCCUUUAAAGAAAGCGUAAUAGCUCACUGGUCUAGUGAUUUUGCGCGGAAAAUAUAACGGGGCUAAAGUAAGUACCGAAGCUGUAGACUUAGUUUACUAAGUGGUAGGAGAGCGUUCUAUUUGCGUCGAAGGUAUACCGGUAAGGAGUGCUGGAGCGAAUAGAAGUGAGCAUGCAGGCAUGAGUAGCGAUAAUUAAUGUGAGAAUCAUUAACGCCGUAAACCCAAGGUUUCCUACGCGAUGCUCGUCAUCGUAGGGUUAGUCGGGUCCUAAGUCGAGUCCGAAAGGGGUAGACGAUGGCAAAUUGGUUAAUAUUCCAAUACCAACAUUAGUGUGCGAUGGAAGGACGCUUAGGGCUAAGGGGGCUAGCGGAUGGAAGUGCUAGUCUAAGGUCGUAGGAGGUUAUACAGGCAAAUCCGUAUAACAAUACUCCGAGAACUGAAAGGCUUUUUGAAGUCUUCGGAUGGAUAGAAGAACCCCUGAUGCCGUCGAGCCAAGAAAAGUUUCUAAGUUUAGCUAAUGUUGCCCGUACCGUAAACCGACACAGGUGGGUGGGAUGAGUAUUCUAAGGCGCGUGGAAGAACUCUCUUUAAGGAACUCUGCAAAAUAGCACCGUAUCUUCGGUAUAAGGUGUGGUUAGCUUUGUAUUAGGAUUUACUCCGAAAGCAAGGAAACUUACAACAAAGAGUCCCUCCCGACUGUUUACCAAAAACACAGCACUCUGCUAACUCGUAAGAGGAUGUAUAGGGUGUGACGCCUGCCCGGUGCUCGAAGGUUAAUUGAUGGGGUUAGCAUUAGCGAAGCUCUUGAUCGAAGCCCGAGUAAACGGCGGCCGUAACUAUAACGGUCCUAAGGUAGCGAAAUUCCUUGUCGGUUAAAUACCGACCUGCAUGAAUGGCGUAACGAGAUGGG